rnacentral:rRNA from 1 species
AGUGAACGCUGGCGGUAGGCCUAACACAUGCCAGUCGAACGGCAGCACAGUAAGAGCUUGCUCUUACGGGUGGCGAGUGGCGGACGGGUGAGGAAUACAUCGGAAUCUACUUUUUCGUGGGGGAUAACGUAGGGAAACUUACGCUAAUACCGCAUACGACCUACGGGUGAAAGCAGGGGAUCUUCGGACCUUGCGCGAUUGAAUGAGCCGAUGUCGGAUUAGCUAGUUGGCGGGGUAAAGGCCCACCAAGGCGACGAUCCGUAGCUGGUCUGAGAGGAUGAUCAGCCACACUGGAACUGAGACACGGUCCAGACUCCUACGGGAGGCAGCAGUGGGGAAUAUUGGACAAUGGGCGCAAGCCUGAUCCACCCAUACCGCGUGGGUGAAGAAGGCCUUCGGGUUGUAAAGCCCUUUUGUUGGGAAAGAAAAGCAGCAGGUUAAUACCCCGCUGUUCUGACGGUACCCAAAGAAUAAGCACCGGCUAACUUCGUG